AAAGGCUAGAGUGAAGUGCUAAACUCCCCAUCCAGUCCCAAGGCUCCUCCAAUGCUGCAGGUAGAGAGGUGUUCACACCACUGUCGGGGUCUCACCGUAUAGGAAUUAAGUACUAAGACUGAGCUGGUGGACUGUCACAGUGUGAGUCCAAGCUCUGUCCCUAUAGCACGUGUUCUUGCCUGGCAAGGAGGCCCUCCCUGGGACUCUCCUGGAGGACAGGGAGCAAAGCUCACAGAGCUGGCUUGCUGUGGUGGCUCCUCGGGGGCCUCACUGACACUUAGCUAAGGGCCUGGGAGCAGAGACCCCUGCUUCUAAAGAGAGCCGAGUGGGGCGGCCCCAGCACUUGGCCGUAGGUUUGAAAAGCUAGCUGACCUAGGAUUUCUAGGGUCAUAGGGCCAGGGACACAAGUACUAGGGCACCUGGACCACAGCUUAGGGGAUCCCUGGGUUUCUUUGUGACUUUGAGUGGUUUCAUGAGUUUGGGAGCUGAGACCCCCUUGUAACCGGUGGGUUUGCCUGGGGUUUGUUAUCUUUUGGGGGGAAGAGGCCAUUAGGACUUUUUGUUAUAGACAAAGCCAAAGUUCAGAGUUGCCUUUUUCUAGUGAACUCAAGGGCAGAUGAGGCUCUAGGAACAGAAGUUUCUAUCCCAUCACAUGCCUACUGCUGCCUUCUUGUCCAGCUGGCAGAGGGGGCUGCCUUAAUUUCCUCCUGUUUUGAAAGCCAUGUUCUAGAAUGCUCUGCUGGGCACCUGACUCUGGGAAAGAUGGUAGGUAGAGGGCAGUGCUCUCCCAACCGAUGCCCGCUGGUGACCUAGGGUUCCCUUGGGGAUGUGUGGGUUAGGGUUAGGCUUGUUUCAUUUUCUGGUGCCACCAACCCAUCCUUCCAGCGAGUGCUUUCUUUUCUCUGAACCUUAAAAAGAGCUGCCUCCCAGGGCCACCAGAGUUGUCGCUCUGCUAUGGAGUGCCUUGCCACAGCAGGGUGGGGUCCUGUGUGUGUGUGUGUGUGUGUGUGUGUGUGUGUGUGUGUGUGUGUGUGUGUGUGUUGUGUAUGGAGUGCCUUGCCACAGCAGGGUGGGGUCCUGUGUAUGUGUGUGUGUGUGUGUGUGUGUGUGUGUGUGUGUGUUCAGUACCGAGGACAGUGUUGUUCAGUCCUCUUGGGGACAGGCUAGGAGGCUUUCCAGAGGAAGGACACGACCUGCAGCAAUUAACUGCAGGAUAGUGCACACUUGCACAGGGCCCCUCUGCCCUGCUCCAGAGCUACUCAGGUUUCCACAUCAGGGCCCCUCCAAAACUAAGGAUAGUAAGAAUUGUAAGCACUUUGUGUGCCCACCGGGAGUCCAGGACUGUCCCUCCCUGGGCGUCACCUCUGCCACUGGCUCUGGGCUGUAACCCACUGCUUAUCACAUGUCUCUACACUAACAGGGAUUGAAGCUGGGCCACCUGGGUAUGGGAUUGUCCCUGUCACAUGUACAAAGCUUUUAUAUGUUAGGACAAAACUUAAGUUAUGAGAGAAGUUCUGUGCCUAGUAUUGAUCUAUAAGGGAUUUUUCUUAUAUUUAUGACUUGAGAGACUUAGGAAGACUGCCUGCCUGCCUUAGGAAGGCGGCACUCAGUCACCAGUGGCUGGGCAGAUUUGUAUAUUUAUUUUUGUCUGUUCUGUAGCUUCUGUGUCCAGCAUCCUGAGGUCUUAGGGUGCUUCCCUAAUUUUUGAAAUAAAAUGUUUCCU
rnacentral:lncRNA from 1 species